rnacentral:lncRNA from 1 species
GUGUGUAGUGUGGUGGUGGUGUGCGUAGUGGUGUGUGUGGUGGUGUGCGUAGUGGUGUGUGUAGUGGUGGUGUGUGUAGUGGUGGUGUGUGUAGUGGUGGUGGUGUGUAGUGGUGGUGGUGUGUAGUGGUGGUGGUGGUGGUGUGUGUAGUGGUGUGUAGUGGUGGUGGUGGUGUGUAGUGAUGGUGGUUUGUGUAGUGAUGGUGGUGGUGGUGUGUAGUGGUGGUGGUGGUGUGUAGUGGUGGUGGUGGUGGUGUGUGUAGUGAUGGUGGUGUGUGUAGUGAUGGAGGUGGUGGUGUGUGUGGUGGUGUGUAGUGAUGGUGGUGUGUAGUGGUGGUAGUGUGUAGUGGUGGUGGUGGUGGUGUGUAGUGAUGGGUGUAGUGGUGGUGGUGGUGGUGUGUAGUGGUGGUGGUGGUGUUUAGUGGUGGUGGUGGUGUGUAGUGGUGGUGGUUUGUGUAGUGAUGGUGGUGGUGGUGUGUAGUGGUGGUGGUGUGUAGUGGUGGUGGUUUGUGUAGUGAUGGUGGUGGUGGUGUGUAGUGGUGGUGGUGUGUAGUGAUGGUGGUGUGUGUAGUGAUGGAGGUGGUGGUGUGUGUAGUAGUGGUGGUGUGUAGUGGUGGUGGUGUGUAGUGGUGGUGGGGGUGUGUGUAGUGAUGGAGGUGGUGGUGUGUGUAGUGGUGGUGGUGUGUGUAGUGAUGGAGGUGGUGGUGUGUGUGGUGGUGUGUAGUGAUGGUGGUGUGUAGUGGUGGUGGUGGUGUGUGUAGUGGUGGUGGUGGUGUGUAGUGAUGGGUGUAGUGGUGGUGGUGGUGGUGUGUAGUGGUGGUGGUGGUGUGUAGUGAUGGUGGUUUGUGUCGUGAUGGUGGUGUGUAGUGGUGGUGGUGUGUAGUGGUGGUGAUGUGUAGUGAUGGUGGUGUGUGUAGUGAUGGAGGUGGUGGUUUGUGUAGUAGUGGUGGUGUGUAGUGAUGGUGGUGUGUAGUGGUGGUGGUUUGUAGUGGUGGUGGGGGUGUGUGUAGUGAUGGAGGUGGUGGUGUGUGUAGUGGUGGUGGUGUGUGUAGUGGUGGUGUGUGUAGUGAUGGAGGUGGUGGUGUGUGUAGUGGUUGGUGGUGUGUGUAGUGGUGGUGGUGUGCAGUGAUGGUGGUGGUGUGCAGUGAUGGUGGUGGUGUGUAGUGAUGGUGGUGGUGGUGGUGUGUAGUGAUGGUGGUGGGGCGGUGGUGUGUAGUGAUGGUGGUGUGUAGUAGUGGUGGUGGUGGUGUGUAGUGAUGGAGGUGGUGGUGUGUAGUGGUGGUGGUGUGCAUAGUGGUGUGUGUAGUGGUUGUGGUGUGUGUAGUGGUGGUGGUGUGCAGUGAUGGUGGUGGUGUGCAGUGAUGGUGGUGGUGUGUAGUGAUGGUGGUGGUGGUGGUGUGUAGUGAUGGUGGUGGGGCGGUGGUGUGUAGUGAUGGUGGUGUGUAGUAGUGGUGGUGGUGGUGUGUAAUGAUGGAGGUGUGUAGUGAUGGAGGUGGUGGUGUUAGUCAUGGAGGUGGUGGUGUGUAGUGGUGGUGGUGUGCGUAGUGGUGUGUGUAGUGGUGGUGGUGGUGUGUAGUGGUGGUGGUGGUGGUGUGUGUAGUGGUGUGUGUAGUGGUGGUGUGCGUAGUGGUGGUGUGUGUAGUGGUAGUGGUGGUGGUGGUGUGUAGUGGUGGUGGUGGUGUGUAGUGAUGGUGUGUAGUGAUGUGGUGGUGUGUAGUGGUGGUGUGUAGUGGUGGUGGUGUUGGUGGUGGUGGUGUGUAGUGAUGGUGGUGUGUGUAGUGAUGGUGGUGGUGGUGGUGUGUGUAGUAGUGGUGGUGUGUAGUGAUGGUGGUGUGUAGUGUGGUGGUGGUGUGUAGUGAUGGUGGUGGUGUGUAGUCAUGGUGGUGUUGGUGUGUGUAGUGAUGGUGUUGGUGGUGUGUAGUGGUGGUGUUGGUGUGUUGUGAUGGUGUGUAAUGGUGGUGGAGUGUGUAGUGGUGGUGGUGGUGGUGUGUAGUGGUGGUGGUUGUGUUUAGUGAUGGUGGUGUGUGAAGUGGUGGUGGUGGUGUGUCUAGUGAUGGAGGUGGUGGUGUGUGUAGUGAUGGAGGUGGUGGUGUGUAGUCAUGGUGGUGUUGGUGUGUAUUCAUGGUGGUGUUGGGGUGUAGUGGUGGUGGUGUGUGUAGUGGUGGUGGUGGUGGUGUGUAGUGGUGGUGGUGUGUGUGGUGGUGGUGGUGUGUGUAGUGAUGUUGGUGGUGUGUGUAGUGGUGGUGUGUGUAGUGAUGGUGGUGGUGUGUAGUGGUGGUGGUGGUGUGUAGUGAUGGUGGUGUGUCUAGUGAUGGUGGUGGUGGUGUGUAGUGAUGGUGGUGGUGUGUAGUGAUGGUGGUGGUGUGUGUAGUGGUGGUGGUUGUGUGUGUAGUGGUUGUGUGUGUAGUGAUGGUGGUGGUGUGUUGGUGGUGGUGUGUGUAGUGAUGGUGGUCGUGUGUAGUGGUGGUGGUGGUGGUUUGUAGUGAUGGUGGUGGUGUGUAGUGAUGGUGGUGGUAGUGUGUGUAGUGAUGGUGGUGGUAGUGUGUGUAGUGAUGGUGGUGUGUGUAGUGAUGGUGGUGUGUGUAGUGAUGGUGGUGUGUGUAGUGAUGGUGGUGGUGUGUGUAGUGAUGGUGGUGGUGUGUGUAGUGACGGUGGUGGUGUGUGUAGUGAUGGUGUUGGUGUGUAGUGAUGGUGGUGUGUGUAGUGAUGGUGGUGUGUGUGUAGUGAUGGUGGUGUGUGUGUAGUGAUGGUGGUGUGUGUGUAGUGAUGGUGGUGGUGUGUGUAGUGAUGGUGGUGGUGUGUGUAGUGAUGGUGGUGUGUCUAGUGAUGGUGUUUUUUGUGUAGUGAUGGUGAUGGUGUGUGUAGUGGUGGUGGUGUGUGUAGUGAUGGUGUUUUUUGUGUAGUGAUGGUGGUGGUGUGUAGUGAUGGUGGUGGUGUGUAGUGAUGGUGGUGGUGUGUAGUGAUGGUGGUGUGUGUAGUGAUGGUGGUGGUGUGUAGUGAUGGUGGUGGUGUGUAUUGAUGGUGGUGUGUGUAGUGAUGGUGGUGUGUGUAGUGAUGGUGGUGGAGCUGUUCUAUGAUUUGAAACAGGAGGAACAUGUCCCACCCCUGUCAGAGUUUAAUUGUGGAGAGACGGUGUCAGGGACUUCUGAUUGGAUGAUAUCAUUCUCGUUGGCGAUGAUGUGCUUCACCAGACAGUUGGCUGCUUCAUCUAUAUUCAUAUUCUCCUAGAGAGAGAGAAGGAGAGAGGAGAGAGAAGGAGAGAGAGAGAGCAGAAGAGAGAGAGAUAGAAAGAGAGAGAGAGAGAGCAGAAGAGAGAGAGAGCAGAAGAGAGAGAGAGAGAGAGAGAGAGAGAGAGAGAGAGAGCAGAAGAGAGAGAGAGAGCAGAAGAGAGAGAGAGAGAGAGCACA